rnacentral:tRNA from 1 species
GCCCUCGUAGCUCAGCAGGACAGAGCAGGAGCCUUCUAAUCUCCGGGUCGCAGGUUCGAAUCCUGCCGGGGGCA